AGACUCCGCUACAACGAGCAUCGGAGGAACGGCAUUAACAGAGAAGAGGACACUCCCCUAGGAGAGCAUGCGCUGCAUAAGCACCCUGAGAUGGAUCGACGCGACAUCUCGGUGACGGCCAAAAUCCUGCGUGUAUGCAAAGACGAAGCGGAUAGAAGAAUCGCUGAAUCCAUCUUCAUCCGAGACGCCAGGCCCAAAAUUAACGAUAACACUACAUCAUGGCAGCUUCUUCCAAAAUAAUGUAUAUAAAUGUGUGUGAAUUGGUUCUUGAAAGAUACCUAUAUAUGUACUGCUAGUUUAACUGGGGAAUUAUGUGUAGAUAUAUUUUUAAGGUAGGAACUAGGGUGAUCAAUUUGCACGGGAUCUGUGUAUUUAAAUUUCUUACUGCGACAUUACUGAAGAACUUGAGACGAAUUCGACAUUGUGUGCCUGUUAUGUGUGUAAAUAAUUACAAUCGACCGACGAAGAGCUGUGCUCGAAAUAUCUCGAUUUUUAAUACAGUAAUUUAUUUUGGCAAUUUCAUAUUUCCAUACAGAAGUGAGGAUAAGUCGUACAACCAUGACAUCGACUGCGCCACGGCGGUCGCCUGAGCCACCUGACGUCGAGGACCGGCCUUCUUCCGUGACUGAUACUGAGCACAGCUGGAUGGACCGUUGUAGUGGGACGGCGGUGCGCGGCAUUGUCUAACGGAAGAGAAGGCGCCCUGGGAUAGAUGCUUCACGCGCGGGUUAAUUUUAUGGUGUUUGUGAGCUUCAAUAUGCUGGCUGCCUUUGCUUGAACUCCAUGAUUGUAGCAGGGAUGGGUUGCAGGUAUUUAUUUUAUAUUGCGUGAUAAGGUUUUGAAUUCAUGUCAUGUGAUAUCGAAACAGGUUUCGGGAGUCCGGGUAUUACGACAAAAUAUUACUCAUAAUAUUACCGUGACAAAAAAUGAUUAUAAACAAUAAACUGGGCUUCUGGCAUU